rnacentral:rRNA from 1 species
UAAGGGCGCACGGUGGAUGCCUUGGCACUAGAAGCCGAUGAAGGACGUUACUAACGACGAUAUGCUUUGGGGAGCUGUAAGUAAGCUUUGAUCCAGAGAUUUCCGAAUGGGGAAACCCAGCAUGAGUUAUGUCAUGUUAUCGAUAUGUGAAUACAUAGCAUAUCAGAAGGCACACCCGGAGAACUGAAACAUCUUAGUACCCGGAGGAAGAGAAAGAAAAUUCGAUUCCCUUAGUAGCGGCGAGCGAAACGGGAAGAGCCCAAACCAACAAGCUUGCUUGUUGGGGUUGUAGGACACUCUAUACGGAGUUACAAAGGACGACAUUAGACGAAUCAUCUGGAAAGAUGAAUCAAAGAAGGUAAUAAUCCUGUAGUCGAAAAUGUUGUCUCUCUUGAGUGGAUCCUGAGUACGACGGAGCACGUGAAAUUCCGUCGGAAUCUGGGAGGACCAUCUCCUAAGGCUAAAUACUCUCUAGUGACCGAUAGUGAACCAGUACCGUGAGGGAAAGGUGAAAAGCACCCCGGAAGGGGAGUGAAAUAGAACCUGAAACCGUGUGCUUACAAGUAGUCAGAGCCCGUUAAUGGGUGAUGGCGUGCCUUUUGUAGAAUGAACCGGCGAGUUACGAUUUGAUGCAAGGUUAAGCAGUAAAUGUGGAGCCGUAGCGAAAGCGAGUCUGAAUAGGGCGUUUAGUAUUUGGUCGUAGACCCGAAACCAGGUGAUCUACCCUUGGUCAGGUUGAAGUUCAGGUAACACUGAAUGGAGGACCGAACCGACUUACGUUGAAAAGUGAGCGGAUGAACUGAGGGUAGCGGAGAAAUUCCAAUCGAACCUGGAGAUAGCUGGUUCUCUCCGAAAUAGCUUUAGGGCUAGCCUCAAGUGAUGAUUAUUGGAGGUAGAG